GUGUUGCGACUGGUGGACUAAAAGAUCGAAGCGCGUUGGCACAUUAGAGUUGGACCGGAUUCGUAAGUCCAUGAGUGUUAUUGUCCGUGAGCCAGAUGGGCAUAACCAAUUGCUUGUCAAGGUAAAAUGGGUCGGACAAAGGUCAUAAUGGCAUGUUUGGAACGGGUUGUGUUGAGUUGACCCGUUCAUAUAGUAAUUUUUUUUUGACAUUUUUCAAGAAUUAACAUAUGUUAGUUGAAUCAGAUCAUAGAUCUGCUGGCAUUUAUUAGACUGUAGUUCGUAUUGACAUGCUUUUUAGGGUUAACUGAACUGGAUAUUUAGUUAACAAAUCUGUUUCAUCAGCAGUUGUUGAGUGUUUUUGUGUAGAAUUGAGUAGUUGAAACAUGAAGAUGUUCUAAAGAACUAAUAAGUAAAAAGGUGAGAGGGGUCGGGAUAAAAUAUCAAGAUUUUGUUGGGAUUUACUAUAUAGCAGAAGCAUGUUAUCUCUACUUAUUGGAUUCCUAAUUUCAUUCAAUAGAAUGAGAUUGAUUAAACUACAUUCGGCCAGUUGGAAUUUAAGGUUAUUUCAAGCAAUAAUCUAUUGUUUCCAUGAACUCACAGGUUUAUCUUUUAAUCUCUUUAUAUGUAAGCAUGGUGUCAAGGAAAGAUAUCGUAUUGACAUGCUUUUUAGGGUUAAAACUCAAUCAUCCACUCUCGUGGACAAAAACAAAGAGAUGAGCAAAGCCAAGACCGAGGCGGGAGAAGAGGGCCCCACCGUAGUAACUGAAGCGGACAUUCAGCACACUGUCUCAUCAAAUAUCAAGAAUACCUACCUUAAAGUUUCAAUUUUUUUUUGUUUUCUGUUACGCAUCCGAUGAUUAAUCUAUGCCCACAGUGAUCGUUUUCUGCCUGAUAAGGCUAUUGAUUUAAUCGAUGAAGCCGGUUCUCGUGUUAGACUUCGUCAUGCCCAACUCCCAGAAGAAGCUAGAGAGCUCGAGCAAGAACUCAGGCAGAUAACAAAAGAAAAGAACGAAGCUGUUUGUGGCCAAGAUUUCGAAAAGUUACCGGUUUGCCUACUGAAGCUGCUUUAAAAGUGCUGGUA